GUAGGGUCCGAGCGUUAUCCGGAAUCAUUGGGCGUAAAGAGCUCGUAGGCGGUUCAGCAAGUCGGCUGUGAAAGUUCGAGGCUCAACCUCGAAAUUGCAGUCGAUACUGCUGUGACUCGAGUCCGGUAGAGGAGAAUGGAAUUCCCGGUGUAGCGGUGAAAUGCGCAGAUAUCGGGAGGAACACCAGUAGCGAAGGCGGUUCUCUGGGCCGGCACUGACGCUGAGGAGCGAAAGCGUGGGGGGGAGCAAACAGGAUUAGAUACCCUGGUAGUCCACGCCGUAAACGUUGGAUGCUAGGUGUGGCGGUCUACCCAACGACUGCUGUGCCGAAGCUAACGCAUUAAGCAUCCCCGCCUGGGGAGUACGGCCGCAAGGCUA
rnacentral:rRNA from 1 species